rnacentral:rRNA from 1 species
AGCAGCCGCGGUAAUUCCAGCUCCAAUAGCGUAUAUUAAAGUUGUUGCAGUUAAAAAGCUCGUAGUUGAAUUUCGGGAUUGGCGCAUCGGUCGUGCCUCACGGGGUAUGAACUGGUGCAGUCAAUUUCUCACCUUCUGGAGAACCGCGAUGUCCUUAAUUGGAUGCCGCGGGGAACCAGGACCUUUACUUUGAAAAAUUAGAGUGUUUAAAGCAGGCAUUUUUGCUUGAAUACAUUAGCAUGGAAUAAUAAAAUAGGACGGCAUGGUUCUAUUUUGUUGGUUUCUAGGACCACCGUAAUGAUUAAUAGGGAUAGUUGGGGGCAUUAGUAUUCAAUUGUCAGAGGUGAAAUUCUUGGAUUUAUUGAAGACUAACUACUGCGAAAGCAUUUGCCAAGGAUGUUUUCAUUAAUCAAGAACGAAAGUUAGGGGAUCGAAGACGAUCAGAUACCGUCGUAGUCUUAACCAUAAACUAUGCCGACUAGGAAUCAGACGAUGUUAAUUUUUAAUGUACUCG